CAGCCGCCACGGUAAUACGAAGGGGGCUAGCGUUGUUCAGAUUUACUGGGCGUAAAGGGCGCGUAGGCGGACUGAUAAGUCAGGGGUGAAAUCCCAAGGCUCAACCUUGGAACUGCCUUUGAUACUGUUUGUCUUGAGUUCGAGAGAGGUAAGUGGAACUGCGAGUGUAGAGGUGAAAUUCGUAGAUAUUCGCAAGAACACCAGUGGCGAAGGCGGCUUACUGGCUCGAAACUGACGCUGAGGCGCGAAAGCGUGGGGAGCAAACAGGAUUAGAUACCCGGGUAGUCCCUGUCUCUUAUAC
rnacentral:rRNA from 1 species